UUCUCGGUCGUAUAACGGUCAGUAUACAAGCUUGUCAUUUAAUCAUUAAUUGCCCGCUUGUGAUCCGGGUUCGAUUCCCGGCCGGGAAG